GAUGAACGCUAGCUAUAGGCUUAACACAUGCAAGUCGAGGGGAAACGGCAUUAUGUGCUUGCACAUUUUGGACGUCGACCGGCGCACGGGUGAGUAUCGCGUAUCCAACCUUCCCUCCACUCGGGGAUACCCCGUUGAAAGACGGCCUAAUACCCGAUGUUGUCCACAUAUGGCAUCUGACGUGGACCAAAGAUUCAUCGGUGGAGGAUGGGGAUGCGUCUGAUUAGCUUGUUGGUGCGGGUAACGGCCCACCAAGGCUACGAUCAGUAGGGGUUCUGAGAGGAAGGUCCCCCACAUUGGAACUGAGACACGGUCCAAACUCCUACGGGAGGCAGCAGUGAGGAAUAUUGGUCAAUGGACGGAAGUCUGAACCAGCCAAGUAGCGUGCAGGAUUGACGGCCCUAUGGGUUGUAAACUGCUUUUGUUGGGGAGUAAAGUGAGGCACGCGUGCCUUUUUGCAUUUACCCUUCGAAUAAGGACCGGCUAAUUCCGUGCCAGCAGCCGCGGUAAUACGGAAGGUCCAGGCGUUAUCCGGAUUUAUUGGGUUUAAAGGGAGUGUAGGCGGUCUGUUAAGCGUGUUGUGAAAUUUAGGUGCUCAACAUCUACCUUGCAGCGCGAACUGGCGGACUUGAGUGCACGCAACGUAUGCGGAAUUCAUGGUGUAGCGGUGAAAUGCUUAGAUAUCAUGACGAACUCCGAUUGCGAAGGCAGCGUACGGGAGUGUUACUGACGCUUAAGCUCGAAGGUGCGGGUAUCGAACAGGAUUAGAUACCCUGGUAGUCCGCACGGUAAACGAUGGAUGCCCGCUGUUAGCGCCUGGCGUUAGCGGCUAAGCGAAAGCAUUAAGCAUCCCACCUGGGGAGUACGCCGGCAACGGUGAAACUCAAAGGAAUUGACGGGGGCCCGCACAAGCGGAGGAACAUGUGGUUUAAUUCGAUGAUACGCGAGGGAACCUUACCCCGGGCUUGAAAUUGCAGACGCAGG
rnacentral:rRNA from 1 species